ACAGCUGCAGCACGGUCACCAUAAACAAGCAUUUCCCCAGCUGGGCCAUGGCCCGUGGAAACCCUGCUUCUCCCUCCAGGUUCCUGUGGACUCCAGCUUCUGGGAAGGAGGCCAUGGUUUCUGAGAGUGGGGCUUGCAUGUGGCAAAGAAUAAGGAUGGCAAGAAGGGCGGAAGCACCCCUGAGCACUGCAGCUGCUACUUCCAGU
rnacentral:lncRNA from 1 species